rnacentral:rRNA from 1 species
UACAGAGGGUGCAAGCGUUGUUCGGAAUUACUGGGCGUAAAGCGCGUGUAGGUGGCAUGGUAAGUCUCGUGUGAAAGCCCUGGGCUCAACCCAGGAAGUGCGCGAGAUACUGCCGUGCUGGAGUGAUGGAGAGGAUGGCGGAAUUCCCGGUGUAGAGGUGAAAUUCGUAGAUAUCGGGAGGAACACCUGUGGCGAAGGCGGCCAUCUGGACAUUUACUGACACUGAGACGCGAAAGCGUGGGUAGCAAAC